rnacentral:lncRNA from 1 species
GUAAGUUUUACGUUUUUCUUGGAAGGAUUUGUCUCUGGUGCUCCUACAGCACACCUUUCUCUAUCCUCAAUCAAGCCAGCACUCAUUCCUAACGGAAGUCCUUAACUGAAUGAAUAACGAACGACUGGAUGGAUGGAUGGAUGGAUGGAUGAGUCACGCAGCCUUUUCUGUCGUAGCUCUUUUCUCUGCAUUCUGCAGGCUCCUCUCUGCAUCCUUAUCUAGACAUUGCAUAACAGCCUAGGUCUCUCAGGCCACCUCACACCUGCCUCCUCAGGUUGGGCGCCAAAGCGCUAGGCCGGAGCAAGUCUGGGCUGCCCAGCCACAGCAGAUCGCUCCGGGUCAGAACUAAAAUCCGAAAUGGAGUGCCGGGAGCCACAGAACCCGCGCAGACCAGCGCCAACCGCUGAGCCCUCAGGAGCAUGCUCAGUGCGCCUCCCUUCCUCGCGCCCCCAGCCCGCACCCCGCUCCCGCGUCCACCCCCUCACCGCACCCAGGCGCGCUCCCGGGCACCCCAGCCCGCCUCUGCUCCCGCACCCCUCUCCCGGGCCUCGGUAGGGGAGGACACGUCAGGGGACAUAAAUAAAUAAAUAAUUCCAUUCAGCGGAUGACAGCGAGGCCGGGCGGCUGCUGCUGGGCGGGGGGACCGGGAGAGCGGCGGUGCGCACCGGGUGUCAGAGUCAGAUAACAGUGCACCAUGUGUAAACGUGAAUGCUGUACUCACCGAAUUGCACCACACUUCAUAUGUUACUAGGAGUCAAGCUUGGCAUGUGGUGUUCUCCUGUGGAGACUUACACAAGGGUAUCCAGGCACCGUGAACUCAGAACAGUACACCAGUAGAGCUAUCUUGUGAGUUCUCCUGAUGUGCAAUGGUAUUUCCGUCUGUCUGCUUGCCCCAACUCAUGGCAUUUGUUAAAUAGGGACAUUUUGACAUGGAUGAAUCUGGACUUUAAUCUUUAGCUUUGUCCUGUAAGCAGAUUAUGAUUGUUGGGGAAGUUUAUACUGCGUUAUGUAGCUCUGACUGG